rnacentral:rRNA from 1 species
AGUGGCAGACGGGUGAGUAAUGUAUAGGAAUCUACCUAGUAGUACGGAAUAAUUGUUGGAAACGGCAACUAAUACCGUAUACGCCCUACGGGGGAAAAAUUUAUUGCUAUUAGAUGAGCCUAUAUUAGAUUAGUUAGUUGGUGAGGUAAAGGCUUACCAAGACAAUGAUCUAUAGCUGAUCUGAGAGGAUGAUCAGCCACACUGGAACUGAGAUACGGUCCAGACUCCUACGGGAGGCAGCAGUGGGGAAUAUUGGACAAUGGGCGAAAGCCUGAUCCAGCCAUGCCGCAUGAGUGAAGAAGGCCUUCGGGUUGUAAAGCUCUUUUAGUGAGGAAGAUAAUGACGGUACUCACAGAAGAAGUCCUGGCUAACUCCGUGCCAGCAGCCGCGGUAAUACGGAGAGGGCUAGCGUUAUUCGGAAUCAUUGGGCGUAAAGGGCGCGUAGGCGGGUUAGUAAGUUAAAAGUGAAAUCCCAAGGCUCAACCUUGGAACUGCUUUUAAAACUGCUAGUCUAGAGAUUGAAAGAGGAUAGAGGAAUUCCUAGUGUAGAGAUGAAAUUCGUAAAUAUUAGGAGGAACACCAGUGGCGAAGGCGUCUAUCUGGUUCAAAUCUGACGCUGANGCGCGAAGGCGUGGGGAGCAAACAGGAUUAGAUACCCUGGUAGUCCACGCUGUAAACGAUGAAUGUUAAAUAUGGGAAGUUUACUUUCUGUAUUAUAGCUAACGCGUUAAACAUUCCGCCUGGGGACUACGGUCGCAAGAUUAAAACUCAAAGGAAUUGACGGGGACCCGCACAAGCGGUGGAGCAUGUGGUUUAAUUCGAUGCNA